CCUACGGGUGGCUGCAGUGGGGAAUAUUGGACAAUGGGGGGAACCCUGAUCCAGCGACGCCGCGUGAGUGAAGAAGUAUUUCUGUAUGUAAAGCUCUAUCAGCAGGGAAGAAAGACAUGACGGUCCCUGACUACUAAGCCCCGGCUAACUACGUGCCAGCAGCCGCGGUAAUACGUAGGGGGCAAGCGUUAUCCGGAUUUAUUGGGUGUAAAGGGAGCGUAGACGGUUACGCAAGUCUGGAGUGAAAGGCGGGGGCCCAACCCCCGGACUGCCUUGGAUACUGUAUAACUGGAGUGCAGGAGAGGUAAGUGGAAUGCCUAGUGUAGCGGUGAAAUGCGUAGAUAUUAGGAGGAACACCAGUGGCGAAGGCGGCUUACUGGACUGUAACUGACGUUGAGGCUCGAAAGCGUGGGGAGCAAACAGGAUUAGAUACCCUUGUAGUC
rnacentral:rRNA from 1 species